CCCCCCUAGCAAUGGGCAAAGAGACACCUUAUUGAUGGUAUUUUUCUUAGAUAUGGGGAGAGCAUUUGGACGUCCUUUGUUCAUCCUAACUUGAUGCCUAGCUUGGUGGCCAAAGCUGUUUUAUGCCUAUGACACAUAA